GAGGAGGAGGGCCAGAGGGGCUGAGGGCCCCUUUCCUGGCGGUGGCCAGGUCCCAGUGGUGUCCGUGCCAAAGGCCAACUCUCCCCUGACCUCUGCCACCAGCCGGACAGCUGCUGCCUCAGACACCACGCUCUGUGAGGACACAGUGGGCACUGCGCCUCCACCUUCACCUUUAAGCACCGCAUCAGUGUUGCCAGCAUCAUUUCUUCCAAAGCUCUGGCACAGGACGUACACCCUUGUCCCACAGCCACUUCAGAGACAAGGAGGAGGAGGGACCCAGAGCCCAUCUACGCUGUGCAAAGGUGUUGCCUAAGGAUAGGGACCUCCAGUGAAUCUGCAGCCAAGUUCAGGUUUAUAUAGAGCUGAGUGCAGGUCGGUUGUAAAUCACUGGUGGGGUGCAGCUCCUGACCUACUGCUCUGACAACAUUAAACCAUCUGCAGAUAGAGAACCGAGGCUGUGACCAUCCAUCUAUCACAUCUUAUUUGCAGAUUUAGAGAAAUAAAAGGUUAGUGCAUUAAAUGUAUUUACA
ensembl:lncRNA